UAGGAAAGCAGAACUUCUUUUGGGGAA
rnacentral:piRNA from 1 species